CUGGAAAGGAGCUUUAUUUGUGUGUGUUGAAUUCCCGCAGCAGCCGAAGGAUAAAUAGCUGGUCCCCCAGCCUUAGCUUCGACUGCCCACAAGGUGGGUGGUAAAUCUGUUCCUGUUUAGAUAGCUUUGGGGGAGCGGUGGGGAGGGGGUCAGGCAGCGGGAGAGGGAGCUUGGAAUCUGCAGUGUUUACGUGAUCAGUCACGGAUGUCAUCUCUCCUCUUAAUUAGGGGUCUGGAGCAGAGAAACUAUGCUCAGCUUCCUUGUCCUUCGAACGGACCGGCGAGGAGGCAGCGGACGAGCAGCUCUUCGGGCCCACCUGCCGUCGGACCACCGUCUGGUCCCCCAGACCCCUGCUGAGCACCCGUACAUGUCAGCACUGGGCCAGGCCCCACCCAGCACGUUGUUCACACGUGAUCUCAGUGCUCACAACCACCUCCUGAGUGAGCUCAAGUCCUCUGUACUCGUUACAUCAGAGAUCGAUGGAUGACUUCUAACAACCUUCGGCUCUGGUAUUUCUCGCGAUCAGAGAGUCCCCUGGAGCCAGUAUAUCCCCAGCACCUGGAGUCGGACAAGAUGCACACAAUGAAUGGACACAUUUUCAGAUUGGGACAAGCGCAUGAAUAAAACCAAUCAGGGUACCGGGCUCUGGGUGGCUCGAGGUGCUCCUUCAGACGGGAGAGACAGG
rnacentral:lncRNA from 1 species